ACGAUGCAACUUUCUCGCUCCAACUGCUAUCAGCCAAUCGCACCUCCUAUCUUAUAGCAGUAGUGGUGGUAGUAGUCGGCAUUUAAUAUGUGAUGUGAUAAUAUACGAAUGCUUGGGCUAUGCACUUUGAGUUUGUACGGGUCUAGAGGUUAAGAUCGAUUGUAAUCAAUUAUUUACGUGAACGCGAUGUUGUUUUGAGGUCGUCAAGGCCUAUAGCAUUUCCUUUUCUCGAGUUAGAUUAGAAUUGUCGUUUGAGGUACGCGAUGACAGAUCUGUUCGAUAUCGCCAAUUUGAUUACGACCGUUGGUAUCGACGGCGUGAAGAUUAAAUCGGAGCCUGGGUUGCCUGGGAAGUCCUCCAAUGAGAUUCUAACGGAGCUCUUCAGCACGUUUGACGCGACGGAUGACGGUGUUGCGUCGCCGGAGAACAACAGUCAGCAGGUUCCGAAUGGCGACGUCGAAGAUACCAAGUUGGAGAAGGUUCAAACAAAGAAGAAAAAGAUCAAGAAAAAACAUAAACACAAGGAGAAAAAACACAAGAAAAAGUCAAGACACAACUCCUCGGACAGUAACAGUGAUGUGGAAGGUGUCAAGAAGAAAAAGAAACACAAGAAGAAAUCUAAACGGAGGCGUGAGUCCGUUUCGAGUGUAUCAUCAGAUUCGGGUUGUACCAGAGCUAAAACGACAAAAUUAAACGAUGAUCUUGAGAGUAUAAAACUCGAUGUGUCAGACAAGGCUGAUAUGGAUAAUGUGGCAAAAGGGGACAAUUAUCCAGAUCUAGACACAACGGAGAAAAUUACAGAUGAUCCUGGUAGUCCGCAAUUACCGUCUUUAGUAAAGAAGAUGGAUGAUGAGUCCGAUGAGCCAGUAAUACCCAAACUUCUUGAGAAACCAAAGCAGCCUACUCAAGGAAAAAUAUUGAUAAAGGAUCUCAAGAACAGUACUGUUUAUAAUGAAACGGUUAAAGCGAUAGAAAAUAAACAGAAAGCGAAAGCUGCGAAAAUGGAAGAUGGCGAGCUCUCUGACAGCAGCGACGAUAAUAGAACGCCUACUUUAAGUCCUACUCCUCCUCGAGAUAGUUCACCGUCGUUUAGUUCAAGCAGGGAUAGAAUCCGGAACAUUUUUAGUCCAACAAGCGAAUCGAUUCCUUCAAAAACUGAUCUUCGAUUAGUAUUGAGAGAAAAAGAGAAGAAAAGGAGCACGCGAGACAAGAACAGUGCAAGAAGUAGAAGUUGUCAUUCGCAAGACAGGAGGCGAUCGAGAUCACGAACGCGAUACAGUUCGCAUCGUAGUAGGAGUGGCGGAAGAGAAAAACAAAGGGAAAGGAGCAGGGAGAGGCGCGACCGAGCCAGGAGCAAUGAAAGAAGAGACUCUGGCAGGAAUCGAGAAAGUCGCCGACACAGAAGUCGCAGUGAAAAUAGAAACAGGGAUAAACAUGUGCGAGGUCGAAGCAGAAGCAAAGAGAGAAAAGAGCGGAUAGAGAUUGAUAAGAAAAAGCUUUUGGAAAUUGCAAGAAGGAAUGCUAUAAAUAUGAUAAAGCAAGGUACUCUACCACUGGCGCAACAAGAUAAAGCCAUCGCUGCUAUACAGUCCGGUGGAAAAACGGUGGACGAGCUCACAGAUUUUUGUAAAUCGUUAUCAAAGUCUGAAGCAUUGGGCGAGCUGUCUAGUAUUUCGUCCGAGGGUGAAGAGAGCGAAUCUGAGAAAGGAUUCCAUCAUCCUUUCCUCCUAAAAGAAAGGCCUAGUUCUAUUAUAAUGAAUAUUAGGGACGCAAAACAGUUGCCAACAAAAACGUUCCAAGAGAAGACAGCCGAGACGUCAAAUCAACUACGGUUGCAGUUCCCCGUUUCCAGUGGUCAGCACCACAGGAGGAGCGAAAACGAAUGGGUGCCGGUCACACCGAAGAAACCGGAGCCGAAAAAGAUAUUCGUGCCAGCUUCUACGAGCGAGCCACCCGCAAUAAUGCCGCCACCUGCUGUGUCGGAACAGCCACCUGUGCUACCCGCGCAAAUUGUUUUCCCGCCGGUCACAGAGACUGUGGAUAUUGGCUCCAUAGUGUCCGAGAGGCUGGCGGCUAUGAGGAAAUUAAGGGAGAAUCCAAAUGACGUAAGCGCUCUGAAUGCAAUGCAUCGAGCACAGAAUGAGAUGAAAACUUGGGCUGAAAGUAAGCAAAUACCAGGUCAGUUUACUGGUAGUACAGGAGUUCGAGUGCUCACACCAGCAGAACUGUCUUCAGGUUAUCAAGCCUGGGCGCGUAAGGUAAAAUUAUUAUUACACAUUCUACUCGUUUCACUUAUUUCUGAAUCAAUCACAUCAAAAUCCUUGAAUGCAAGAUGCAUUUCUAAAUCAAAACAUCCGUUAUAUUGCAAAAUUCAAAAUUUCUCUCAUCUUUCGAACACAAUGCUUAAUAAGAUGUUUAACUCUGAAAUCUAUGAUUUCUCGUUAGAAAAUAACAUUUUUCAUAAAUAAAUGCAUCUUCGCAUACAUCCAUCGAAGUUCCUCUUUCUUUGAAACAAUGAGAUAAAGGUCCAAAUAUAUCUCGUAGUAAUAAUAAUAUAAUAUUUACGUCACGAUGUCGAGCAGUACGCCACUUUGCUAAAAUUUGGACCUGGCAUUGUUUAGCGAUAUGUAAUACAUCGUUGACACAUUGAUAUUGCCUGUAACAAGUUUUCAGGUACGGUCUCUGCUAGGAUUAAUAUAAAAUUGAUUUUAGUAGAGACUGUGUUGUAGGCACAGACUAUUUCUUGUGUAGAGGUGGAUUCUGUGCCUGCGCGGACACAGGAGCGCUGUUAUUUCACCGCAAAUCGCUAAAUCCGCAAAAAUAUGAUUUUUAGAAUUUAUUCUGCAAGAAACUUCCUACUGUAGGAUUUCACCAGAAGCCAGUAUAUUGCCUUUUAAUCGUAAAGCUGGGAUAUUUAGCAUUAGUCUGCAUCCACCUGAGGGUUUGUUACAGGCACAUAGCUACGUCAGUCAAGAAACAACUUCGGCAGCCUGAUGCAGAGUUUGUUAUCUGUCCGGUAAGUAUUCUCACCCAAGUUGUACUAACAGAUUAUUAACAUUACGUUAUUCCCAGGUAUUCUCUUAGAUUGUAAUUAAAAACAAAAUUAAAAUCAAGCAUAUCUAUCUUACUAAGCUCUAUUUAUUUCAAAUCUGUCGGUGUCCCUCUAACGUACAAAUCUUUUGUAGCAGUUACACAUAUAUCGACUACAAAAAAAA